rnacentral:tRNA from 3 species
UCGGGUGUGGCCAAGCGGUAAGGCAGCGGACUUUGGAUCCGCGAUCCCAGGUUCGAAUCCUGGCACCCGAACCA